rnacentral:tRNA from 1 species
GGAUAUAGUUCAGUGGUGAAGUACCUGCCUGGUAAGCAUGAGGCCCUGAGUUCAAAUCUCAGUACCA